rnacentral:rRNA from 2 species
UCCCGUUGAUUGACGUGCUUGCACUGAUUUCAACAUUGGAACGAGUGGCGAACUGGUGAGUAACACGUGGAAAACCUGCCCAGAAGCAGGGGAUAACACUUGGAAACAGGUGCUAAUACCGUAUAACAACAAAAACCGCAUGGUUUUUGUUUGAAAGGUGGCUUCGGCUAUCACUUCUGGAUGGUUCCGCGGCGCAUUAGCUUGUUGGUGGGGUAACGGCUCACCAAGGCGAUGAUGCGUAGCCGACCUGAGAGGGUAAUCGGCCACAUUGGGACUGAGACACGGCCCAGACUCCUACGGGAGGCAGCAGUAGGGAAUCUUCCACAAUGGACGCAAGUCUGAUGGAGCAAUGCCGCGUGAGUGAAGAAGGGUUUCGGCUCGUAAAACUCUGUUGUUGAAGAAGAACGGGUGUCAGAGUAACUGUUGACAUCGUGACGGUAUUCAACCAGAAAGCCACGGCUAACUACGUGCCAGCAGCCGCGGUAAUACGUAGGUGGCAAGCGUUGUCCGGAUUUAUUGGGCGUAAAGCGAGCGCAGGCGGUUUCUUAAGUCUGAUGUGAAAGCCUUCGGCUUAACCGAAGAAGUGCAUCGGAAACUGGGGGAACUUGAGUGCAGAAGAGGACAGUGGAACUCCAUGUGUAGCGGUGGAAUGCGUAGAUAUAUGGAAGAACACCAGUGGCGAACGCGGCUGUCUAGUCUGCAACUGA